GUCUCUACUAACUUACAUUUUUGUAAUGGUACUUUACACAGGAAACAGAUGCAAUUUGGCCUUUGUGAAAUGAAAAAAGUCAUUGCUACACUGCAUCAAUGGAGAUCAACAGGAUUUUAGGGAUCAUCCUGGGGGAGGCCUCCCCCAACCAACCUCCACUCUUCCCCAGAUAGAGUUUCAAAAAGGAGCAGGCUUGCAAGAGACAACAUCCAAACUCAACAAAGCACGAAACAAUGAUACAAUGAGACGAAACAAUGAUACAAUGAGACGAGACAAGACAAAAGCCUCAUGUCGAGGCUGGAUAAGGCUACCCAUGAGGCUGGAUAAGGCUACCCAAUGGGAGGAAAAGAGUCUCAAGAUCAGGAGCAAAAUAUGCUGAAGAAAGGAAGUGUUUUAGCCAUUGUAGGUGUGGAAGAAUCUCUGAGACGUGGAUUAUCCAUCAAUUCAGCACCAUCUUUCAACUCAUCGCCCCAAAUUAAAAAUAUACUCAAGCCCAUAAAAGCUGGA